GACGAACGCUGGCGGCGUGCUUAACACAUGCAAGUCGAACGGAAAGGCCCUGCUUUUGUGGGGUGCUCGAUUGGCGAACGGGUGAGUAACACGUGAGUAACCUGCCCUUGUCUUUGUGAUAACUUCAGGAAACUGGGGCUAAUACCGGAUAGGAGCUCCUGCUGCAUGGUGGGGGUUGGAAAGUUUCGGCGGUUGGGGAUGGUCUCGCAGCUUAUCAGCUUGUUGGUGGGGUAGUGGCUUACCAAGGCUUUGACGGAUAGCCGGCCUGAGAGGGUGACCGGCCACAUUGGGACUGAGAUACGGCGCAGACUCCUACGGGAGGCAACAGUGGGGAAUAUUGCACAAUGGGCGGAAGCCUGAUGCAGAAACGCCGCGUGCGGGAUGACGGCCUUCGGGUUGUAAACCGCUUUCGACUGUGACGAAGCGUGAGUGACGGUAAUGGGUAAAGAAGCACCGGCUAACUACGUG
rnacentral:rRNA from 1 species